rnacentral:tRNA from 1 species
GCUCCUGUAGUUUAAAUAAAACUCCACGCUUUCACUGUGGGAAUGGGCUUAUGUCCCAUGAGUA